rnacentral:misc_RNA from 1 species
GUCCUCUUUCUCUCACUGAGCCAAUAUCUUCUCUCCUAUUAAAAGAAACCCAGGUUCUACUUGCCGUCUCUAUCUCAACACCGCAAGCACCUCUGAAGUCUCAACAACCAAAAGGAAAAUGAAUCAACCCAUGAUUUUACUCCCCCUUUCUAUCCCUUACUCAUGAUACUUUCCUUUAUUUCUCAAUUACAAUUCAAUAGACUCAAAUUGAAAGCUCAAAUUUAACAAACCCAGAGUCAAUUAGCAAACACAUAAACAAAUAUGAAUCCGUUUUGUUGGAAUAUCACUUGUGGG